UACGGAGGGGGCUAGCGUUGUUCGGAUUUAUUGGGCGUAAAGGGCGCGUAGGCGGUUCGGUACGUCAGCUGUGAAAUCUCCUGGCUCAACUGGGAGCUUGCAGGCGAAACUGCCGGGCUUGAGUGUGGGAGAGGUGAGUGGAAUUUCCGGUGUAGCGGUGAAAUGCGUAGAUAUCGGAAGGAACACCCGUGGCGAAAGCGGUUCACUGGACCAUAACUGACGCUGAGGCACGAAAGCUAGGGGAGCAAACAGG
rnacentral:rRNA from 1 species